rnacentral:rRNA from 1 species
GGUUGCGAUCAUACCAGCACUAAUGCACCGUAUCCCAUCAGAACUCCGCAGUUAAGCGUGCUUGCGCGAGAGUAGUACUAGGAUGGGUGACCCCCUGGGAAGUCCUCGUGUUGCAACCC